GCAGGAUCAAAACAAAACUGUGGGGAAGCAAACAAGCUCCUUCUAGUGCCAGGAUCCUGAAUUCCAGUUCACUUUUUCAGACGUAAGUGUUCUUUAAAAAGAGAACAACGUUUUAAAAGGCAGCUCUUGAAAACAUUCACAUUCUCUAAAAACAGAUGUUCAUCCAUCAAACUGGAGAAGCCUUCCCCUCAGUUAUCUCCUUAGAAUCUGCCCUCCGUUCGAAGUCCAGGAGAGAAAUCAAAUGCAAGUUUUCAGGUGGCACACACAUCCAAGGCACAGCUCACACGAAUGCUAAGGAAAUGAACAAAAACCUUCGUGGUGCAGGAGGGAAAGGCACUUGAAAAGAGCAGAAAAAGAAAGAAAGAAAGAAAGAAAGAAAGAAAGAAAGAAAGAAAGAAAGAAAGAAAGAAAGAAAGAAAGAAAGAGGUGAGUCUUUUUAAGCUUGCCUUCCUCCACUCUGAGGUCUGGGCUGGGAAAUCUGGUGUUAGGGCAAACCCAUCUGGCAGGGGAAAAAUAAACAAAGUACAGUACAUGGAAAAGGGGGAGGC
rnacentral:lncRNA from 1 species